rnacentral:lncRNA from 1 species
UGCAUUCUAGGAGCUAAGUUACCCAUCUGGAGCUCUCAUAACAUCUCCUGGGCAUCAUGUUGGAGACCUAAGAGUUAGAAGGCAAAUGCCUUCUGGAGGUAUCUGCAUCUCUUUCCUCAGUGGGAUUUCUACUUCCACAUCGCUUGCUGUACCUCUGUUUCUCUAAGAAUCACAGAAGAGAAAGAAGUAUAAAAUAUGCUCACAGCUCAUUACAUGCAUUCAAACAGCACCCUUUAAGGGGAGACUUGUUCUCAUCAACGAGGC